rnacentral:rRNA from 1 species
UCGAGCGGGCCCUUCGGGGUCAGCGGCAGACGGGUGAGUAACGCGUGGGAACGUGCCCUUCGGUUCGGAAUAACCCUGGGAAACUAGGGCUAAUACCGGAUACGCCCCUUGGGGGAAAGGUUUACUGCCGAAGGAUCGGCCCGCGUCUGAUUAGCUUGUUGGUGAGGUAACGGCUCACCAAGGCGACGAUCAGUAGCUGGUCUGAGAGGAUGAUCAGCCACACUGGGACUGAGACACGGCCCAGACUCCUACGGGAGGCAGCAGUGGGGAAUAUUGGACAAUGGGCGCAAGCCUGAUCCAGCCAUGCCGCGUGAGUGAUGACGGCCUUAGGGUUGUAAAGCUCUUUUGUCCGGGACGAUAAUGACGGUACCGGAAGAAUAAGCCCCGGCUAACUUCGUGCCAGCAGCCGCGGUAAUACGAAGGGGGCUAGCGUUGCUCGGAAUCACUGGGCGUAAAGGGCGCGUAGGCGGCUUGCCAAGUCGGGGGUGAAAGCCCGUGGCUCAACCACGGAAUGGCCUUCGAUACUGGCAGGCUUGAGACCGGAAGAGGACAGCGGAACUGCGAGUGUAGAGGUGAAAUUCGUAGAUAUUCGCAAGAACACCAGUGGCGAAGGCGGCUGUCUGGUCCGGUUCUGACGCUGAGGCGCGAAAGCGUGGGGAGCAAACAGGA